rnacentral:lncRNA from 1 species
ACCCUUGAUUUUAAGUUUAUUUUUUAAAAUCAGUGGCAAAAAUAAUAAUUACAUUUCAUAUUUUUAAAAUUUUAAAAGUUUUAAUUAUUUUUUAAUAAAUAUAUUUUAGUAUGAUAACAAAAAAUUAUAAUUAUCUUGCAAAAUUUGAUAAGACUACCAUCUUAAUACCAUUUUAAAAAGUUUGCAACUAUUAUAAAAUAAUUUAAAAUUUAAACAUCAAAAUAAAAUUUAAAUAAAAGAUUUGGGACUACUUAUACACUUUAUCUAAAAAUAUUUGGCCCAAAAAUCUUUGAUCAAAUGUCGAGAUUCAAUGGUCAAAGUUCAAAGGAGUGUUGUUUAAAACUUCAAGUUAAGCUUGCCUCAAUAUAUAGACGAAAGAGAGUCCAAGCUGAAACUAACACUACAUAUUAAAACAACUAUAUAUCUUUAAACAACAAAAUUAUACCUACCGUGUAAAAAACAAUUAAAAAACCAUUUUUAAAUUAAAAAAAAGGGGCUUUCUCGAAAGGAAAGGCGAGAGGGCAUGCACGUUGGAACAUUUUUGUUGGUGGGUCACUGUUGUUAUAAUCCAUCAUAUAACACGGUGCAGAUGUUGAAAUCGAAAUUUAAUUUAAUUUAUUUAUAUUUUAUUUUUAGGAAUUAAUAUUUUUUAAGUUUAAAUUUGAAUUUCAAUAUAUAAUCCUUUUGUUUUAUCUUUAAACUGUGAUUUUUUUUUAAUAAGGUGCAGAUGAUGAUAUUCAUUAAACCAAUCGAAAUAUUUUGUCAGUCGAGUUGAACAUUAAUACUAGUUUAGAUGGAGACAAUAGUUUCUAUAUCCAAAUUGAAGACUGUUUUCACCAAACAUUUUUGACUUCUCUUCCUUUGCCAAUUGCCAUACUGCCGAAUCUGAGAAAAAUUACACGAUUUUUGAAUGGGAUGAUGAAUUUCAAAUAUGUGUGCUUUGAAAGCCAUAACCCAUUGCCCAAUUUCAAAAGAAGGUGUGGGAAACGUUUCUAAAGGAGGCCGUAUGUGAUUUUUAUUUUUCUUUUUCUGGUAAAAAGGGGUAAAAGAGAUCUUUGCUUACACGGCCGCAUGUUUGAAGGGAUUAUGAGCAUGAUUAGAAUGUAACUUGCAAGACACUAUCAACAAAAGUAGAUGAUGUUAUCAAUUGACUUGCACAUCACUACCAACAUGGAUAUACCACUUAUUGUUCAUUGAUCCAUCCAAUUUCAUUCCAACUUUUUUUUUUCACGAGAUUGGUGGUUUAAAAAUAAUCAUUAAGGUUUACCAAAAUAAAAAAAUUGCUAUUUUAUAUAUUGGUGGUAAGAGUUUUUUUUUUUUUAAUGGAAAUCGCAUUUUGAAAAUAAAAAAAAAUUGUCUUAGG